UUAAUGUUUAUUUUGAUGACUCGUUAAGAUAGAUUAAUAAAAAAAGCUAGGUAUUAAAAAAGAUGUGAGAAUUGAUAGCUUAGUUCGAGCGUUUAACCAUCAGGCCGAUUGAGACUUUGUUGACUAAUGCUCUGUACUUGGUUAUAAAUCUGUAUAUUGGACAGACUAGUGGUGGUUGGCCCCAUAGAAGUUGACUUGGGCCCUUAAUCUGAAACCCUUUGAUUUAAAAGGAGCCCGUGUCGGCCACGACCGUUCCGACCUGGCCCAGACCCUCUCUGCUUAUCCUUAAGCGACCUAGGGUCCUUUGUCUCUCCAUUUGUGGUCGUCGGUACCCUUAUCUCGAAAUUUCUCCGUCCCUCCAAACCCUAGCCGCUGCGUUUCCAUCUUCUUCCAUCUCCCGACGACGAUCUCGCGGCCGCUUCCUCCCAUGAAGACGAUGAUGAUGGCGCAUAUUGUUUUCAACAUCGAAGAAGAUAUUUAUUAUCCGCGUUAAGGAUCACUCUUCUCUUAAUUCUUUGUAUGGUUGGAUCUCACUUGUCUCCUGGGUUUGGAGGUAGAGAACGCCAUGAUGGUGGUUUGAUACAUCCCGACGAAGACUACUCCUCUCCGCGAUGAGCUAGAGGGGACGAUGAAAACGGACCUCUGCGAUGACCCCUACCUCUACUCUGCGCUCUUCAACUAAUGAAUACGGUUCCUGUAUGCCUCGCUCAACUCCCCACCAUUUCAUAAUCAAAUGUUUAGGGGCUCGAUGACGAUAUUAGUAACAAUGGUUGGUAGCCUCUGUGAUGGACAUUUGAUUCAAUAUUACUACUGAUUUUUUGAGUUGGGAUUGAGGUCCCUUCUUCCAACGUUAGGUGAGUUUUGGGGCUAAUUGGGUUGUGGUAUUUUUGGAUAGUAAGGUCAGCUGAUUUGAUUAGCAGAUUUGGGUGUAAUGGUGACUGAUUUCGUGGUUAGUUUGUGGUGAUAUUGUGUCUCGAGGUGGCAAAGUAAAGUUUUAGUGAUUUUUAAUUUAUUUUCAUCCUUGGAAGUGACGCUUUGUUCUUUUUCGGUUAGUAAUGUCGUCUUUUCCUUGCGAGGUGGCUUGAGGGAUGCUCGUAUUGGAAGCUUGGGAAGGUGAUGGUGUCGAUUUCGGUAAAAUGGCGAGGUCGAGUGCUUGAGUGUGUUUGAGAGCUCGAGAGUGGCGAGAGGGUAAGGGUAGCAAGUGAAGUUUCGAGGGUGACUUGCGAGUUUGAGCGUGAGCGAAUUGAGAGUGAUUUGAGGUGUUGAGUGGGUUAGCACGAGUGGAUUAAGUGAGAUGAUGAGUAUGAUUUGCUAAUCAAGGUCUCUUUCAUUAUUUUGGUUUUUUUUUUCUUUUUUUUGUGUGAUAUACUUAAGGCUAAUUUUGUAGGCUCUAAAUUUUCCUUAAUCUCUCUAAAAAUCUGUCUUUUCUUUCUCUUUCUCUCUAUAUCUACUUCUUCCUCUCUUUUUCUCCCUGAAAUUUUUUCUGAAAAUCCCCCCCUUUCUCUCCCUACACAAAAUUCCCCCCUUCUAUAGUCAAAAUUAGACUCAAUUUGGGUUAAAUCCGCCGUAAAAAUCAAUUAACGCCCCUAUUCC
rnacentral:lncRNA from 1 species